rnacentral:misc_RNA from 1 species
GAUGACAACACCAUACACACAAAUCUUGGACUCGCAACUAUAAGCUCUAGGGUUUUCUUUUCUUUCUUUGAUAUGCGAAAAUGACGGUUACUACUGAGAUCAGCGCUGGAGAUCACGCGGUCGAAUCGUCCGAGACGCAUCCGCAUCAUCACCUGAUGGCAGUGCGGACGACGGAGCAGGCGGCGGCUCUGGCUCUGAGGAAAUGGCCCC